rnacentral:rRNA from 1 species
AUUGAACGCUGGCGGCAGGCCUAACACAUGCAAGUCGAACGAGUGGCGGACGGGUGAGUAAUGCUUGGGUCUCUAGCUUAUGGAGGGGGAUAACUACGGGACACUGUAGCUAAUACCGCGUACCAUAGGAUGAGCCCAAGUGGGAUUAGGUAGUGGGUGAGGUAAAGGCGCACCAAGCCGACGAUCUCUAGCUGGUCGGAGAGGAUGACCAGCCACACUGGGACUGAGACACGGCCCAGACUCCUACGGGAGGCAGCAGUGGGGAAUAUUGCGCAAUGGGGGCAACCUGACGCAGCCAUGCCGCGUGAAUGAAGAAGGCCUUCGGGUUGUAAAGUUCUUUCGGUAGGGAGGCGUUAACUACAGAAGAAGCACCGGCUAACUCCGUGCCAGCAGCCGCGGUAAUUC